rnacentral:rRNA from 1 species
CCAGACUCCUACGGGAGGCAGCAGUGAGGAAUAUUGGUCAAUGGGCGGGAGCCUGAACCAGCCAAGUCGCGUGAGGGAAGACGGUCCUACGGAUUGUAAACCUCUUUUGCCGGGGAGCAACGGGGUCCUCGCGAGGGCCCAAUGAGAGUACCCGGAGAAAAAGCAUCGGCUAACUCCGUGCCAGCAGCCGCGGUAAUACGGAGGAUGCGAGCGUUAUCCGGAUUUAUUGGGUUUAAAGGGUGCGCAGGCGGCUGUUUAAGUCGGGGGAAAAAGCCCGGGGCUCACCCCCGGCGAGCCGUUGAAACUGGCGGGCUGGAGUUGGAGAGAAGUACGCGGAAUGCGCGGUGUAGCGGUGAAAUGCUUAGAUAUCGCGCAGAACCCCGAUUGCGAAGGCAGCGUACCGGCUCCACACUGACGCUGAGGCACGAAAGCGUGGGUAUCGAACAGGAUUAGAUACCCGCGUACG